ACGGAAUAGAUACCCGGGUAGUCCACGCCCUAAACGAUGUCUACUAGUUGUCGGGGAUUCAUUUCCUUGGUAAACGCAGCUAAACGCGUGAAAGUAGACCGCCUGGGGAGUACGGCCGCAAGGUUAAAACUCAAAGGAAUUGACGGGGACCCGCACAAGCGGUGGAUGAUGUGGAUUAAUUCGAUGCAACGCGAAAAACCUUACCUACGCUUGACAUGCCAGGAACUUUCCAGAGAUGGAUUGGUGCCCGAAAGGGAACCUGGACACAGGUGCUGCAUGGCUGUCGUCAGCUCGUGUCGUGAGAUGUUGGGUUAAGUCCCGCAACGAGCGCAACCCUUAUCCUUAGUUGCUACGCAAGGGCACUCUAGGGAGACUGCCGGUGACAACCGGAGGAAGGUGGGGAUGACGUCAAGUCCUCAUGGCCCUUAUGUGUAGGGCUUCACACGGUCAUACAAUGGUCGGUACAGAGGGUCGCCAACCCGCGAGGGGGUAGCCAAUCCCAGAAACCCGAUCGUAGUCCGGAUUGCAGUCUGCAACUCGACUGCAUGAA
rnacentral:rRNA from 1 species